GCCAAGACUAGCCCCAAGCAUGAUCAACACUAAUAACAAGUCAACACACACAUACUAAACCAUUUACCUACACAAAGUAUAGGCGAUAGAAAUUUUAAUCUGGCGCUAUAGAUACAGUACCGUAAGGGAAAGAUAGAAAACCACUCAAGCACAAAACAGCAAGGACUAACCCCUGUACCUUUCGCAUAAUGAAUUAGCUAGAAACAAUUUUACAAAGAGAACUACAAGCCAAAUUCCCCGAAACCAGACGAGCUACCCAAAAACAGCCAAAAGAGCGCACCCGUCUAUGUGGCAAAAUAGUGGGAAGAUUUUUGGGUAGAGGUGACAAGCCUACCGAGCCUGGUGAUAGCUGGUUAUCCAAGACAGAAUCUUAGUUCAACCUUAAGCUUACCUACAGAACCAUCUAAUCCCCCUGUAAGCUUAAUUGCUAGUCUAAAGAGGGACAGCCCUUUAGACACUAGGAAAAAACCUUACGGAGAGAGUAAAAACCCCAAUUACCACAGUUGGCCUAAAAGCAGCCAUCAAUUAAGAAAGCGUUCAAGCUCAACAUCAACUACCUCAAAAAUACCAAACACAUAACUGAGCUCCUCACACCACAUUGGAUUAAUCUAUCACCAUAUAGAAGCAAUAAUGCUAGUAUAAGUAACAUGAAUAUUUUCUCCACUGCAUAAGCCUAAAUCGGACCGAAAGUCUCACCGAUACUUAACAGCCAAGCAUAACAAACACAAACAAGCCCAUGCCACCUUCACUGUUAACCCAACACAGGCAUGCCUCAAGGAAAGGUUAAAAAAAGUAAAAGGAACUCGGCAAACUCAAACCCCGCCUGUUUACCAAAAACAUCACCUCUAGCAUUACUAGUAUUAGAGGCACUGCCUGCCCGGUGACACACGUUUAACGGCCGCGGUACCCUGAC
rnacentral:rRNA from 1 species